GACGAACGCUGGCGGCGUGCUUAACACAUGCAAGUCGAACGGAAAGGCCCUGCUUUUGUUGGGUGCUCGAGUGGCGAACGGGUGAGUAAAACGUGAGUAACCUGCCCUUGACUUUGGGAUAACUUCAGGAAAAUGGGGCUAAUACCGGAUAGGAGCUCCUGCAGCAUGGGGGGGGUUGGAAAGUUUCGGCGGUUGGGGAUGGACUCGCGGCUUAUCAGCUUGUUGGUGGGGUAGUGGCUGACCAAGGCUUUGAAGGGUAGCCGGCCUGGGAGGGUGACCGGCCACAAUGGGACUAAGAGACGGCCCAGACUCCUACGGGAGGCAGCAGUGGGGAAUAUUGCACAAUGGGCGGAAGCCUGAUGCAGCAACGCCGCGUGCGGGAUGACGGCCUUCGGGUUGUAAACCGCUUUCGCCUGUGACGAAGCGUGAGUGACGGUAAUGGGUAAAGAAGCACCGGCUAACUACGUG
rnacentral:rRNA from 1 species